rnacentral:rRNA from 1 species
UACGAAGGGGGCUAGCGUUGUUCGGAAUCACUGGGCGUAAAGGGCGCGUAGGCGGCGCGACAAGUCAGGCGUGAAAGCCCCGGGCUCAACCCGGGAAUUGCGCUUGAUACUGUCGUGCUUGAGGCCGGGAGAGGAUGGCGGAAUUCCGGGUGGAGUGGUGAAAUGCGUAGAGAUCCGGAGGAACACCAGAGGCGAAGGCGGCAUCCUGGACCAACACUGACACUGAGGAGCGAAAGCCAGGGGAGCAAACGGG